rnacentral:lncRNA from 1 species
NAUAUUUUGUACAUUUGGUGGCGACUUUAGUCGCCACCGAAUGAUAGUUAUCUUGUAGUGUUCGUGGGUCCCGGCGGAGUCUCGGUGCGACUACGGGACUUCCGGCGUAUUACGGCUAUCCAUUUGGAAAACCGAUUCCCGUGAGUUCAUUAGUGGGGCCCUGUGAGUUAGUGUUCUAUGUUAGAGAUUCUAAUCCGGUGGACCUUUUGUAGGUCUGGUUGACGUUCUUUCGCAGGCAGGAGACAGACGCGACAGUUGUACAGGUGGGUACUUCGAUCCGACGUCGAUACAGUGGUGCACGCUCGGUGAUGGUUUCUUUUCCUUACUCUUCUGUUGAUACUAUUGCAUAGUAUAUAUUGAGCCUUGCACCCAUGUUAUUCCAUUAUACUUUACUCGUUGUUUGCAUGCUUAGUAUCCUGAGUAGGAGUAGAGUAGUUCUAUCUACAUGCGUAUCUGUUGACCUGGUUGGUCGGUUGUUGCAUUCCGUAUCUGUUGACCUGGUUGAUCGGUUGUUGCAUUC